CUAUCAUCAGAUACUAAACAGCAGAGUGACCUUGCUGCUGAAAACUAUAUGGCCUUUGCUGAUUGAUCUGUAGCUGCCUAGUGUUACUUUUUAAUUAUCCAGUAGUCCUGUGUUCCAGGAGCUAUCAUUUGACUCAUUGUGUCUAAUAUUGACCCAGAUGCUCUGAAUUGCCAGUCUUGAUAAAGGUCAUAUAAUAGGACCGAAACGUCGAAUGUUAAAGGCAACGUUAUUGAACCUGAUUAACCUGAAUAAACUGAUUGACACAUCAAGAUCUUCAAAGUGAUUGAUUUCUGCGAGAGUGCACCCACCACACGGGUGGUAGAUGCGGUAUAUUUGUGACCUGACAAGGUCAUUGGGAGCACCCGCCUAUUUAUCUCUAUGAACUGAUGAGAGUGCAGGAUAUU